rnacentral:rRNA from 1 species
UACGUAGGGGGCAAGCGUUGUCCGGAUUUAUUGGGCGUAAAGAGCGUGUAGGCGGCCAGGUAGGUCAGCUGUGAAAACUCGAGGCUCAACCUCGAGACGCCGGUUGAAACCAUCUGGCUAGAGUCCGGAAGAGGAGAGUGGAAUUCCUGGUGUAGCGGUGAAAUGCGCAGAUAUCAGGAAGAACACCUAUGGCGAAGGCAGCUCUCUGGGACGGUACUGACGCUGAGACGCGAAAGCGUGGGGAGCAAACAGG